AGUGGUUAUUUUUAGUAGGAACGAUUUUAUUAACUUAAUACGAUACUGAGGCUGUGACCGCUUUUAGACUCUGUCACUCGUCUGAACUUGUGCGGUGGUUCGUGCCGCGCGUGCUUUGUUGGAAGCAUUUUUCUUUUGUUUUUGGACAUCAUGACGCAAGUUUUAGUGAAAUUGCUCUAUGAUGAUAAGUGGGAUGUUUAUCCGUUGAAGACGUUUGCUGACGCAGCUACUGGUCUUCGGGUGAUGUUCGAGCCUGGCAGUUUUGAUGAGUUGCGCGGCAGAAUUCAUGAUGGAAGGAAGGCGAACAAAGCCGCAGUCUGACUUCUGCACACAGGCAAACCGCAUGCCCUGGAGCGAAAGCGCGCGAAGCUAGCGCUUGCUGCCGCCGCUGCUUCGAUUGAAAUGUUACACAUGCACCAAAUGCCCAGGUGCUAACGUGUCGUUCGUCAAGAACAGCUUGGCGUCGUUUCUCGCAAGAGACAUCCAUUCAUCUGCGGCUGAUUCACCAGGAAGCUCGCAUCUCUGUUGCCACUCUGCGUCAAGUGGGAUUUCUAACUAUUUUUUAUUCUGCCCUGUGGUGUACGCUGUGACGCUGUGAAGACUUACUUUCAUGGACGCCGUGAAGGCUUACUUUCGAUGUGUUCUGCCUUUUAGUUGUAAAGAAUUGGCUACCUUGUGAGUGGAGGUAGUUCCUUUUUCUUGUGAGAAUGUUUAUCAGCCUAACCAAGUGGUACAUGCGUACUUGAAACAGCAGCACAGACGAGGAUAAUGAAAUAAGUAGGAACACAUACAAGCGUCGACUCAACUAGAAGUUUAUUCUUGAAGACAGGUUGUAAACACAUUGGACCUUGACAAAGAUAAGAAACCAUGUAUGUGUGGCCUUUGUGAUUAAACAAAAUUGUGUUAUCUGCUGUAAGGGGUAGAACGAACAAUUGUUUCAUCACAAAGACCAGAACACAAGAGAAAUUACGGAAGCCUUAUUUAUUGAUUGCAAAGAAGACAAAUGCAUAAGCUAUCUGUUGCUCUUAAUGGGAAAGAGUUGGGAUUUUUAAAAGAGCUCUCCUUGUUUGGUGGUAUCAUUUAUAGGACAUCUUUCACUGUUUUCUUUUUUACCUGCAUAUUUAUACUACAAAACACGUCUUUCGUUCCUUUUUUUUUUUUGUUGCACCGGGCUGUCUGCCACGCAUGCAUGGCUAUUUCUUUGUCAAGUUGGCCAGUGUGCUUAAUAUCUUUGUCGUCACGAACAAACUUCUAGUUGAGUCAGCAUUAUUGUGUGUUCAUACCUUAUUUCACCGUUCUCAUCUUUGUUUGAGCUGUUUGUAAAGUAUGUACACACACCAAAUUACCAAAGUAUCCGUAAAAUUGAGAUACAUGAAGUUAUUUGCACUAUUCAUUUCUGCAAGAACGGUAUAGCUUCUCAUCUCGUUUGUUCUUAACGUUGUUGUACAGUUUCUGUAAUAUAUAGCUUGGAAAGACGUUUUCUGUCUGAUUAAAUAUGCAUGUAUGUCACUUUCGAUAUUUUUUUUCAACAUGGGUAGUGCAGCUCCUUCCGUCUUUCAGUUACUGCUUUGUCGCAACUUUUAUAUAUUUUAUGCAGCGAAAUGCUGGUGGAAUUAUAUAUAUUUAUGUGCGCAAGUGUGGUAAAUGGUGUUUUGUAUGUACAUUUAUUUGCGUUUUUUACUAGCUCUCCAAUCUGGCUGUACAGUUAUUGAAACCUUUUCUCAUGCUUUAUAAUGAGUUGUUCUAGGCUCUUUGAUGAUGCAGGUGACCAUUUAUUUCACUGUUGGGUAUUGCGUUAGCUGUGUGUCACUCCAGUUGUCUAUGUAUUUUAUGUCACUUCAUUAUAUCAUUGAAAGUAUUAGCCUUGCAUUAGCUUUUUAUUAACCGAGGUACC